rnacentral:rRNA from 1 species
CCUACGGGAGGCUGCAGUGAGGAAUCGUACACAAUGGGCGAAAGCCUGAUGUCGUGACGCCGCGUGAAGGAAGAAGGUCUUCGGAUUGUAAACUUCUUUUGUAUGGGAAGAUUAUGACUUUACCAUAAGAAUAAGCAUCGGCUAACUCCGUGCCAGAAGCCUCGGUAAUACGGAGGAUGCAAGCGUUAUCCGGUUUUAUUGGGCGUAAAGAGCGCGUAGGCGGUCUUUUAAGUCUGAUCUUAAAUAUCACGGCUCAACCGUGAAAAUGGAUUGGAUACUGAUUGACUUGAGUAUUUGCAGGGGCAAGCGGAAUCUGCGGUGUAGGGGUAAAAUCCAUUGAUAUCGCAGAGAACACCAAUGGCGAAGGCAGCUUGCUAGGCAUUCACUGACGCUGAGGCGCGAAAGCGUGGGUAGCGAACGGGCUUAGAUACCCCAGUAGUC